rnacentral:rRNA from 1 species
GACGUAGGGCGCGAGCGUUGUCCGGAUUUAUUGGGCGUAAAGAGCUCGUAGGCGGUUUGUCGCGUCUGCUGUGAAAACUGGGGCUCAACCCCCAGCCUGCAGUGGGUACGGGCAGACUAGAGUGCGGUAGGGGAGAUUGGAAUUCCUGGUGUAGCGGUGGAAUGCGCAGAUAUCAGGAGGAACACCGAUGGCGAAGGCAGAUCUCUGGGCCGUAACUGACGCUGAGGAGCGAAAGCAUGGGGAGCGAACAGG